rnacentral:rRNA from 1 species
AUUGAACGCUGGCGGCAUGCCUUACACAUGCAAGUCGAACGGUAACAGGUUAAGCUGACGAGUGGCGAACGGGUGAGUAAUGUAUCGGAACGUGCCCAGUCGUGGGGGAUAACUGCUCGAAAGAGCAGCUAAUACCGCAUACGACCUGAGGGUGAAAGCGGGGGAUCGCAAGACCUCGCGCGAUUGGAGCGGCCGAUAUCAGAUUAGGUAGUUGGUGAGGUAAAGGCUCACCAAGCCGACGAUCUGUAGCUGGUCUGAGAGGACGACCAGCCACACUGGGACUGAGACACGGCCCAGACUCCUACGGGAGGCAGCAGUGGGGAAUUUUGGACAGUGGGCGCAAGCCUGAUCCAGCCAUGCCGCGUGCGGGAAGAAGGCCUUCGGGUUGUAAACCGCUUUUGUCAGGGAAGAAAAGGUUCUGGCUAAUACCUGGGACUCAUGACGGUACCUGAAGAAUAAGCACCGGCUAACUACGUG